rnacentral:rRNA from 1 species
GCAAGUCGAACGCCCUCUUCGGAGGGAGUGGCAGACGGGUGAGGAACACGUGGGAACCUACCUAGAGGUACGGAAUAACUUCGGGAAACCGGAACUAAUACCGUAUACGCCCUCAGGGGGAAAGAUUUAUCGCCUUUAGAUGGGCCCGCGUCUGAUUAGCUUGUUGGUGAGGUAAUGGCUCACCAAGGCGACGAUCAGUAGCUGGUCUGAGAAGACGAAC